rnacentral:rRNA from 1 species
UUUGUAUCUCGUGCGUGGUAGUAGUUAAGAUUAAAAGCCUAACUAGCUAUAUGCACGUAGUCGUAACUGAAAGGUUGAUCGACCACAAUGGGCCUGAAGAAAGCCCAUGACGACUGUCACAGCAGUGAGGAAUAUUGGUCAAUAGCCUAACGGCUGAACCAGCAACCUAUGGAUAUAACAUGGAAAAUUAAGAAAGAGGCAAUAAGAUAUACUUACAAGCGUUGCACGGCUGUCUUCAGUUAAUGUCGUGAGACUCUGGUUAGUUCCAUUAAAUUAACGUAAACCCUUACUUUAUUUUUAUAUAAAGUAGUUCCCCGCUAUAUUGGAU